AUGUGGAGGUGGACGUGGAGGUGGACACGGGACACCGGGGGGGACGCGGGGACACUCACGGCGCCAGGGACAGCCGUAGAGCUCGAGGCGCAGGCAGACGCUCAUGACGCGGUCGGCGCGCGGGUAGAUCCGCAGCGCCCGGGCCACCACGGCCGGCGCCAGGUCCUUCAGCACCACCGCCUCCGGGUCCUCGUUGCCCGCGAUCACCUGCGGCCCCCCGUCAGCUCCCCCUGCCCGGAUCCCCUCCGGAUCCCCCGGGAAGCCCGAGGGAUCCCAGGGACCCUGGGAUCCCCCCCCAGAUCCCCAGCGAUCCCCCAGCACCCCCAGCGAUCCCAGCACCCCGGGGAUCCUUGGAGACCCCCAAGGUCCCUUAACGGGUCCCAGAGCCCCUGGGAUCCCCCCCAGAUCCCCAACGAUCCCUGGGAUCUCCCAGUGCCCCCAGUGAUCCAGGUGUCCCCAGGGAUCCUUGGAGACCCCCACAGCCCCAUAACAGGUCCUAGAGCCCCUGAGAUCCCUCCCAGAUCCCCAACGAUCCCAGAGCCCCCAGCGAUCCUUGGAGACCCCCAAGGUCCCUUAACGGGUCCCAGAGCCCCUGGGAUCCCCCCCCAGAUCCCCAGCGAUCCCCGGGAUCUCCCAGCACCCCCCAGUGAUCCUGGUGCCCCUGGGGAUCCUUGGAGACCCCCAAGGUCCCUUAACGGGUCCCAGAGCCCCUGGGAUCCCCCCAGAUCCCCAACGAUCCCCGGGAUCUCCCAGCACCCCCAGCGAUCCCCCAGGAUCCCUCGAGGACUCCCAGUGUGUCCCCCCAUGUCCCCAGUGGCCGCCCAUGUCCCCAACACGUCCCCAAGGUCCCCAAUGCAUCAUGUCCCCACCAGGCCCUCGUGUCCCCAAACGUCCCCAACAUCCCAUGUCUCCAGUGUGUCCCCACCGCGUCCCCAUGUCCCCAAGGUGUCCCCAAGGUGUCCCAAAGGCAUCUCCAAGGUCCCCAAGGUCCCUCUGUGUCCCCAAUGCACCCCAUGUCCCCACCAUCUCCUCACGUCCCCAAUAUGUCCCCAACAUCCCAUAUCUUCAAUGGGUUCCCAUCAUGUCCCCAUGUCCCCAAGGUGUUCCCAAGGUCCCCAAGGUGUCCCCAAGGUGUCCCCGAGGUCCCCGGUCACCUCGACGCCCCAGCGGUCGCGCCAGCGGAGCCAGCGGCGCCGGUCGCGGCUGUAGCGCAGGCGGUAGGCCCGGGCGAACUCCUUGCCGUGGCCGCCGGCGUGACGUCCCUGCGUCGCCACCAAGGUCACCACGUGGAGGUGGCCCAGGUCCACCUCGAGGAACUCGGCCUCGUCCGGGUACACGGGGCCCGCGGGGCACCAGGCGCCGUCGCCGUCGCUGCGGCCCAGCCUGGGGACAGCGAGGGGACGUCGAGGGGACGCCCGGGGGCCACCAGGUGCCACCUCCAUUGCAGGGACAUCGGGAUAUUGAGGGGAUGUGGGGACAUGGGGACAUCAAGGGGGCAUGGGGACACCCAGGGACAUGGGGACACCCGGGACACGGGGACACCCAGGGGACAUGGAGCUCAUGGCCACCAGGUGCCAUCUCCAUCGUGACAUCGUGGGGACAUCGGGAUAUUGAGGGGAUGUGGGGACAUGGGGACAUCAAGGGGACAUGGGGACACCCAGGGGUAGAGGGACACCCGGGACAUGGGGACACCUGGGACACGGGUGGCCGGGGCUGUGGGAUGGGGACACCGGGAAGAGGCAGGGGA
rnacentral:lncRNA from 1 species